rnacentral:lncRNA from 10 species
UCGCAGCAGGCAUGUGUGCCUGGGUUUGUUACCAGCAGCCAUUUUCUCACCCUUAAAUGAGGGAUGGGUCUCCCCUUUUCUUUUUCUCAUUUUCCUAGAGGUUACAAGAUUCCUGUUUUUCUCACCAGGAGGAGAGGUCAGCCUCAGUGAGCUCAUAGCAGUCAUACAUUGCCAGUGUUUUUCCUCAAGUGGAAGGAGAAAGGCCUUCAGAAAAAAAAUCGUAUGCAAACCUAGUGCUACCACCAGCAGUAGCUCUGAAUCGAGAUUUUUGGGAGAAUUAGGCUUACUAAAGAUAAACUACAAUAAGUCUCAAGGAAGCAAAUAAUUCUGAUUCUAAUGAGGAAUCCAAGAAUAAAGGCAGCUCUUAAGACCAAGUACUCUGACUAGAAAAUAUCCUCAUAUUUGAUGGAAGACAGCAUGAGACGGAGAACCAAGUUCCUUAAAGUACGGAAGUGAACUGUCUGUGGGUGACUUGCCUGGAUGCCGGCUAUAGCUGCAGCCCCCAAAGUCGAAGCUACCAGAACAGGUUGGAUGAGGAUGGCCCAAAGAUUAUGGAGUUGCUGGCCCCAAAGCAAG